UGAUUAUUAUAGAAGCCAUUGUUUAGCUUCCUGGAUUAUCACUAGAGAUAUCAAGCUGACCUCCUGCAAGAUUGAUUUACAGUGGACCGGCUUCCUGGGCUCAAGCACAUAUCCAUCUCCACCAGCCGCAGAGACCCCUGGACAUAUCGGGCACCAGACAGAGAAGGUGCCCUCAGCAUCAUCUGUCUCUGACUCGGCUCGGAUCAAGAGCCUCUCUGAGAGCGGCUUAAGGCAUCAAUGACUCGAUGGAUGUGAGUUUGAGUGAACUCCGGGAGUUGGUGAUGGACAGGGAGGCCUGGC
ensembl:lncRNA